UACAUUUCUCUAACUGUCGUCUCUCUCUCUCAACCCUAGUUCUUUCUCAAAAAUACAUAAUCAAAACCCUAGUUCACAAUCUCAGACAGAAAAUACCGCAAAUCGGCGGUUUGAAGGCGACGGCGACUUGGUGAUGACGACGACGGUGAGUUGGUGGUAACGGCGAUGGCGAGUUGGAGAUAUUGUUUUUCAUUAGUAAGUCAAUAGCUAGGUUUAUCUGGUGUGUUUACAAAUUGGAUGGUUCUGUUUUUGUGGAAGUUCUAGUCCAUCUUGGUUCUUCUUGUAUGAGUGACCUUGUUCGAGAGUUGUAAGAUGGUAUGAUGUUGAUCUUGAAUGGUAUAAAGUUGCUGCUAGCUUUACUAAGCCGGUGAUAAUAUUUCAAUGGAAAGCCAAUGAAGUUGAUUAUCCACAGUGAAAGAAUAAAAGAGGUUCAACAAAUCAACACUUUUUUGUUCUGGAUGUGCUAUAUUGUCUUGUUGAUUUGUUUACAGUGUAUAUUGUAUGGCCGCCCAUUUGCAGAGCCGUAGACUCGUGAACUUGGGAAAGCGAGUUGUUAAUUAGAUCAGCUAUGCUGGUGCUAGAACUACUGCUAACUCACCUUCCCUCUCUGUCAGGAAUAUGAAAAUAGGGGGAAAGAGCCCACUUUUCUUAAGGUCUACGAAGAGACGCAUACGAAGAAAAAAAAAGGACGGUAUAAACUAUGAAAGAAAUGGAAGCGAUGAAAAAGCAAAUUGUGGAAUUGACGCAGUAAUAUGCAGCUAACGAUACUAAAUUUGCUAAAUUUGAGGAGUUGGUUAAGAAACACGUGCCUCAAGUAUUUCAUGAUGAGGAAGAUAGUGAAUCUGAUGAUAGCUAGAAUGUAGUUAUUAUUCUUGUUUUUGGUUGUGACAUUUAGAGUUUAAUCUAUUUGAUUUGAUGUUUGUUUUGGGUGUUCUAAAGUGGUUGUAUUUAUCAAUUUUUGUCGUGUUUGAUCCUAUUGUGAAAAAUACAUUAGUUAUGUUGUUUAUAAUCUGAGAGCAGUGUAAGCUAAUGCAAGAUUUAAUUAUAUAA